CCCCCGAGUCCUCUCUCCCGAAGGUUGUCAUUCCCACCAAUGAAACCCUUGUUACGUCCAUCAUGUGCACCCCACCGGAGCUCCAAAAUGACGAGGAGACAAGCAAAACUGCAAGAUUCGGCGAUCUUAAUCCUAAUCCCCCUGUUCUUCAAGCUGACCCGUCCUUCAUUCUCAUGGAUUCAUUGUCGUCACAUGGAAAAUCAACUGCGCAGCAGAGGCCACAUCAUAGGGCAGCGGUCGUACUGAGAGUCGGCAUCGAGCGUGGGUGUGGGCGCGUGUGCAGCGAUGCUCCCCAAACGAGCACACCUAGCU
rnacentral:misc_RNA from 1 species